GCCUGUUGUCCUGCAGGCAGUAGUCCCGCAGCAAGCCAGCAUGCUUUCCUGGGGACAUGAUACCUGAGCUGGGCGUUUAAGGAUGCACUGGAGUUGUCCAGGUGGUGAAUAAGAGAAUGCACUCCAGGCAGAAGGAAGAGCAGGUGCAAAGGCUUAGAGACACGAAAGAGGGUGUUGUAUUUAAGGAAUGCCGGAAAGCAAUGAAGAUUCUAGAGGCACCUGCAUUCCUUGGCUUGUGGCCUCUUCCUCCAUCUCAAAGUGCAUCGCUCCAAUUUCUGCUUCUGUCAUCACAUCGCCUUUUCCUCCAGCUCCGACUCCUCCUGCAUCCAUCUGAAAAGGAUAAUCCAGGAUAUUCUCCCUAUCUCAAGAUCCUUCAUCACAUCUGCAAAGUCUCAGGCUGCUACCAAAGGGGCCACGCAGGACGUCCUCUGGGGAAUGCUGGCUCCCACACCACCCGCCUCGGCUCCUGGGCCAAGGUUUUGCCUUGAUCUGUCCAUCCCACUGCACAUGGCUUCAAGGAGGCAUUCAUGGGAAUCCCUGCUCAGGUCAGGCAGCAUCGUGUCAAGGUCAUGGCCCCUUGAAGAUUCUUUGAGGAAGUGGCUGUUGAGCUCCCAACCCCAGGGCUGGAGCAGGAGGAUCAGACACCCCGGCCUCAGCCCCAGAGCAUGAAAGCCCUCCCCACUCACCCAGCUGCUCUGCAGACCCACACUUGCACACAACUCCAUGUGCCACUGACCAGCUCUGACCUCGUCCUGGGCAAGGCUGGCGGGGCCUAGACCCAAACCCACAACAGUGUGUGGCUCCCAGGGAGGCAGCGUUUCCUGGGCACCAGCUCUUUAGAGAAUGCCUUCAGAAGUCCCCAUCCAGCCUCUCCCCUCAUGAAAUCCUGUCCUUGAAUCAUCCAGCCUAGCCCCCUGAGUAGCUGUGCAUUUCCGAGACCCCGAAUCCAUAAUAUUCAUAUGAAUGAGGUGGAGGGCAGGGAGAAUCGCUGCCAUUUAUUCAACCCUUAAUAAAU
rnacentral:lncRNA from 10 species